GUGGGGAAUAUUGGGCAAUGGGCGCAAGCCUGACCCAGCAACGCCGCGUGAGGGAAGAAGGCUUUCGGGUUGUAAACCUCUGUCCUUGGUGACGAAACAAAUGACGGUAGCCAAGGAGGAAGCCCCGGCUAACUACGUGCCAGCAGCCGCGGUAAUACGUAGGGGGCGAGCGUUGUCCGGAAUUACUGGGCGUAAAGGGUGCGUAGGUGGCCUUUUAAGUUGGAUGUGAAAUACCCGGGCUUAACUUGGGGGGUGCAUCUAAUACUGGGAGGCUAGAGUGCAGGAGAGGGAAGCGGAAUUCCUAGUGUAGCGGUGAAAUGCGUAGAUAUUAGGAGGAACACCAGUGGCGAAGGCGGCUUUCUGGACUGUAACUGACACUGAGGCACGAAAGCGUGGGGAGCAAACAGGAUUAGAUACCCUAGUAGUCC
rnacentral:rRNA from 1 species